GAGUGCCGUCCGCUGAGGGCGGCUUUUCCCCGGUGUAAGGAGCCGGGGGAAUAAGGAGAGGGCAAGUCUGGUGUCAGCCGCCGCGGUAAUACCAGCUCUCCGAGUGGUAGGGAUGAUUAUUGGGCUUAAAGCGUCCGUAGCCGGCCCGGCAAGUCUUCCGUUAAAUCCAACGAUUCAAUCGUUGGACUGCAGGAGAUACUGUUGGGCUAGGGGGCGGGAGAGGCCGACGGUAUUCUCGGGGUAGGGGUAAAAUCCUAUAAUCCCGGGAGGACCACCAGUGGCGAAGGCGGUCGGCUAGAACGCGCUCGACGGUGAGGGACGAAAGCUGGGGGAGCGAACCGGAUUAGAUACCCGGGUAGUCCCAGCUGUAAACGAUGCGGGCUAGGUGUUGGGGCGGCUACGGGCCGCUUCAGUGCCGCAGGGAAACCAUUAAGCCCGCCGCCUGGGGAGUACGGCCGCAAGGCUGAAACUUAAAGGAAUUGGCGGGGGAG
rnacentral:rRNA from 1 species